GCCCCUAUCGUCUAGUGGUUCAGGACAUCAGCUUCUCAAGCUGAGAACUCGGGUUCAAUUCCCGAUGGGGGCG
rnacentral:tRNA from 1 species